GGAGAGCUUGCUUGUUAGUGUGCACAAGCGUAGGAAAAGAAAAGAAUAAACAGGUCUGCGGUGCGCCAGACCUUCACGAGCUUACCUAUGCUCCAACAAUCAAAGAGCGUUACCUGCCCUGCAGCAACCUUACCGGGACUGAUUGCACUGUGUGUGUGCCUGCCUGCCUGGGAAUCACUGGAGAAGUCUGUCGCUGGUUCUUGCACGGAUGUGUGUAGCUGGGACGCGUAACAGGAGACGUGUUGCGAGGCAACCAAUUGAGCAGAACCCCCAAACCACCUGCAGGCAUCCUGUCCUUCAGAGAGGAGGUGAGCAACUGGUC